rnacentral:rRNA from 1 species
CCUACGGGGGGCAGCAGUAGGGAAUAUUGCUCAAUGGGGGAAACCCUGAAGCAGCAACGCCGCGUGGAGGAUGAAGGUUUUCGGAUUGUAAACGCCUGUUGAUAGAGAAGAGAAGGACGGUAGCUAACGAAUAAGCACCGGCUAACUCCGUGCCAGCAGCCGCGGUAAUACGGAGGGGGCAAGCGUUACUCGGAAUCACUGGGCGGAAAGAGGGCGGAGGCGGGAUCGCAAGUCAGAUGUGAAAUCCUAUGGCUUAACCCUAGAACUGCAUUUGAAACGGUUAUUCUAGAGUAUGGGAGAGGUAGGUGGAAUUCUUGGUGUAGGGGUCACAUCCGUAGAUCUCAAGAGGAAUACUCAUUGCGAAGGCGACCUGCUAGAACAUAACUGCCGCUGAUGCGCGACAGCGUGGGGAGCACACAGGAUUAGAUACCCCGGUAGUC